rnacentral:piRNA from 1 species
UCCAAUGGAAUUGUAGUUAGGAGCCAUU